rnacentral:rRNA from 1 species
UCGCCUGUUUAUCAAAAACAUCGCCUCUUGAAAAAUAUAAGAGGUCCAGCCUGCCCAGUGACUCUGUUCAACGGCCGCGGUAUCCUAACCGUGCGAAGGUAGCGUAAUCACUUGUUCUUUAAAUGAGGACUAGUAUGAAAGGCAUCACGAGGGUUAUACUGUCUCCUUUUUCUAAUUAGUGAAACUAAUCUCCCCGUGAAGAAGCGGGGAUCUUUAUAUAAGACGAGAAGACCCUAUGGAGCUUUAAAUAAUAUAACAAUUGCUACUUUAUUUCUACUAACCUUAUAUCAUCUAGCAAUAUGAUUAUUAAUUUUUGGUUGGGGUGACCGCGGAGCAUAACACAACCUCCACAUUGAAAGGAUGCUACUCCUAAGCUAAAAGCAACAACUUUAUGCAUCAAUAAAUUGACAUCAAUUGACCCAAUAUAUUUGAUCAACGAACCAAGUUACCCUAGGGAUAACAGCGCAAUCUACUUUAAGAGCCCAUAUCGACAAGUAGGUUUACGACCUCGAUGUUGGAUCAGGGUAUCCUAGUGGUGCAGCCGCUACUAAUGGUUCGUUUGUUCAACGAUUAAAACCCUACGUGAUCUGAGUUCAGACGGGA